rnacentral:lncRNA from 1 species
UUUUAUAACUUAAAAUUAUUUUUAGCCUUUGAUUUUUGGGAUGAAGGUUGACCACUGUCCCAUGAUCAACCUGACUUUUUCUUGGAUUUUUAUUUCACAAUUUGCUAUUUAUUCUUGAUUUAUUUUUAACCUAGUCUUGUUGGUUGACUUUUGGUUUGACCUCUGUUUUAUUUUAAAUAAUUCAUGUACCAAUUUUCUUUAUUUUUGAAAUCUUUUGGGGGGAUGAUGAUAUCCUGAUCCCACCUUAUUUAGUCUAAUUUUUCAUAAUUUUCUUGAUUAAUUU